AUACUUCAUCCGUCUAAAAAAAAAACCGAAUCUAGGACUGGAUGUGACACAUUCUAGUACAAUGAAUUUGGAUAAAUGUGUCACAUCCAGUACAUUGGUUUCUUAUGGGACGGAGGGAGUAUGCUCUUUAGUGAAUUGUCACCUGUCAAA
rnacentral:misc_RNA from 1 species